GUUUGCCGCCUUUUUUUUUGUUUCUGAAGAUUGACCUGUAAAUGAAUGAAUUACCACAACAAUAACGAGAAACUGUCUCGCCUCUGAAAUUACAGUCCUUUUUGGAUGACGUCACGAAUCCCUAUUAUUUUUCAGCUGCUCUGCUCCAAUCAUCUCCAUUCUGCAUCUCCAGCCACACAGAUGCCUGCGGCCCAUUUGGUGAACGUCACUGUCAUCACAGUCAUUCUCACAGGAGCCCAGGGGAAUGUAAGUCACCCUCUUUAAAGACUACAGGGGAUGCAUACGCUCCAUGUCCCGGCUGACGCUUAGAAAGUGGCCCCGCCGCACCCGUGGAAUUAGACAGACAGGGGGGCACU